rnacentral:lncRNA from 1 species
CUCUGGUCUGGGGUGUUUACAGAGACCCCGGGCCUGGUCCAAGUGCUGACACCGUGGCUGAUGUCCCUGUUGGGUUAAGCAUUGAUGGUCCUGGCUGAUUCCGGCUUUGGACAGGGGACGCCUAAGGGAACUGCUGGGGCCAGACAUGACAGAAACGAUUCAGAGUCUUUCCACCUGAGGUGGGGGCUGCCCUCCCACCCCAGACCCAGCUUCUCCAUUUCUGGCUUUCAAAGCCCGGACCAAACCUCCUCUCUGCCCUUGGCGCCAAGCUGCCCUCCCUCUUGCCCCAACUCCUUUGACCCUGUCUCUCUCCUCCAGGCUGAUCCCCCACCCCCUCUUCCAGCCUGCCCUUCCUCUGUGAGGGAUGGGGGGGGGGGUGGGCUGAGCCAGUCUUCCCUGCCCCUUCCACUGCUCUGAGGUGGUCCCGGCUCCUCCUGGGUGAGACAGAAGUCCUGAAGGGUGAGGCCUGGCACUCUGGGUCUCCGCCCUCCCAGUGCCCCGGAAGUAGGGGAGGGCCUGGCCAGGCGGCUCCAGGCAUCCCCAACCCCUGCUCAUCACAUUCUUCCCAGGACCCUACAGAUCUCUCUUGAGCAGUCUCCCCAGGGAGAGAGACAACCUUCACCCAGUAGAGCCCUCAAACCCACCAGAUCCUCCUGCUUCCAAAUCCACCCGGCCCAGACGCCACCAUCUUUCUACAAACACUGCAGGAGCCUCCCCACUGACCGCCCCUCUCUCACCUCUCUGCCCUUUCUCCACCCGGCAUCCAAGAGACUUGGAAAAUGCUACUCCAGUUCUGCUGCUCCUCCACUGCAGCCCUCAGUGGCUCCCCAUUGCCCCCUCAAGCUCGGCCCUCAGGCCAGCCAGAACCGGCCCUCCAGCCCCUCUGCCUCUUCUCCCCACUGCUUACCCCCAGCUCAGCCCACCACCCCUAACUACCACUUCUCUUCCCCACAUGCCUCGGCCUCACCCUGGCCUCCAAGCCUCUGCACAAGGCUAUUCCCUCUUAUGGGAUGCCCUUCCCACUUCUUCAUGUGGCUCAGCUCAGACAUCUCUUUGCAGGCAGGAGGCUCCUGUCACUCUCCCCGUCGAGGUGCUGUCUUGGCCCUGCAUGUGGCCCUGGGACUGGCACUUGGCCUCCACUGGAGGCAGCUGUGUUGCACUGAGUGGGCCUGGGAUGACCAGAGACUAACAUUCACCUACCAGGCUGGCUGGCAGCAGCGAAGAAACAGAGCCCGGAGUUAG